rnacentral:snoRNA from 15 species
UUAAAUACAUGAUGAUCUACCCCAACUUGAACUCUCUCACUGAUAACUUGAUGAUAAUGGGAAGGAAAAAAAAAAGAGUACUUAA